GACGAACGCUGGCGGCGUGGAUUAGGCAUGCAAGUCGGACGGUAGGGCUUUAUCGUAAGAUAGAGUUUGAGAGUGGCGAACGGGUGAGUAACACGUAGGAAUCUACCCUUAAGACGGGGACAACCCAGGGAAACUUGGGCUAAUACCGGAUGAGAGUGCGAGAGAUUGCAUUUAAAAGGAUGGCGAAAGUUGUCGCUUAGGGAUGAGCCUGCGGUCUAUUAGUUAGUUGGUGAGGUAAGAGCUCACCAAGGCGAUGAUAGAUAGGCGGCCUUAACGGGUGGUCGCCCACACUGGGAUUGAGAUACGGCCCAGACUCCUACGGGAGGCAGCAGUCGAGAAUAGUCUACAAUGGACGGAAGUCUGAUAGUACGACGCCGCGUGAACGAAGAAUCCCUUCGGGGUGUAAAGUUCUUUUAUACGUUGAGCAGUGCCCUUUUAUAUGAAAUAGUAUAGAGGGAGGGGAUUUUAAGCGUAUGAAUAAGCAACGGCUAACUCCGUGCCAGCAGCCGCGGUAAACAUA
rnacentral:rRNA from 1 species